rnacentral:tRNA from 1 species
GCCUUCGUGGUGUAAUGGUCAGCACGCUCGACGCGUAACCGAGAGGUCCGCGGUUCGAUUCCCGGCGAAGGCG